rnacentral:rRNA from 1 species
UACAGAGGUCCCAAGCGUUGUUCGGAUUCACUGGGCGUAAAGGGUGCGUAGGUGGCGAGGUAAGUCGGAUGUGAAAGCUCGGAGCUCAACUCCGAAAUGGCAUUGGAAACUACCUUGCUCGAGGGUUGGAGGGGGGACUGGAAUGCUUGGUGUAGCAGUGAAAUGCGUAGAUAUCAAGCGGAACACCAGUGGCGAAGGCGAGUCCCUGGACAACUCCUGACACUGAGGCACGAAAGCUAGGGAGCAAACAGG